rnacentral:rRNA from 1 species
AGCAGCCGCGGUAAUUCCAGCUCCAAUAGCGUAUAUUAAAGUUGUUGCAGUUAAAAGCUCGUAGUUGAAUUUCGGAGUUUAUCCGUCGGUCGGGCUUUUGGGUCUGUACUGGCGUGAUGGAUUCCUACCUUCUGAAUAACCGGCAUGCCAUUAAUUUGGUGCGCCGGGGAAGCAGGACUGUUACCUUGAAAAAAAUUAGAGUGCUUAAAGCAUGGCUAUUGCCUGAAUACAUUAGCAUGGAAUAAUGAAAUAGGACGGCAUGGUUCUAUUUUGUUGGUUUCUAGGAUCACCGUAAUGAUUAAUAGGGAUAGUUGGGGGCAUUAGUAUUCAAUUGUCAGAGGUGAAAUUCUUGGAUUUAUUGAAGACUAACUUCUGCGAAAGCAUUUGCCAAGGAUGUUUUCAUUAAUCAAGAACGAAAGUUAGGGGAUCGAAGACGAUCAGAUACCGUCGUAGUCUUAACCAUAAACUAUGCCGACUAGGGAUCGGACGAUGUUAAUUUUUUAAUGACUCGUUCGGCGCC